UACGUAGGGCGCAAGCGUUGUCCGGAAUUAUUGGGCGUAAAGGGCUCGUAGGCGGUUUGUCACGUCGGGAGUGAAAACUCGGGGCUCAACCCCGAGCCUGCUUCCGAUACGGGCAGACUAGAGGUAUGCAGGGGAGAAUGGAAUUCCUGGUGUAACGGUGAAAUGCGCAGAUAUCAGGAGGAACACCGGUGGCGAAGGCGGUUCUCUGGGCAUUACCUGACGCUGAGGAGCGAAAGUGUGGGGAGCGAACAGG
rnacentral:rRNA from 1 species